CAGAUCUAGUCUAAAAUGUCUCAGGACUGAUCUUCACUAUCUUGAACUCAUCUGCUAUGGAAUAGGCAGGUUAUAAAAAAGGCAAAUCAUUUGCAGAGAAAGAUCUCCCUAUGCCAGGAGAAGAAGUAGACAGAGAUAAAUGGAAGGAACUGCUUUCCAAGAUUCUUAGUCACUUCCUUUUCUUUAUAGGGGCAAGCUAGUCUGCUUUCCACCGGAGCAUUUCCCUCCAAAGAUGCAGGUGUAUGGAAACGAGACUGCAGGGAGAACUUCCAGGCAACAAAGGAUGUUUCUCUACUUAUCUCCUCCCUGGAUGGCUGUAUAAGCCAGAUGAUGGUUACCUGAACACUCUAGAAAAAGAAUUCACAGAGGGUUUCACAGGGCACAGCCUCGCAGUCUGGAGGGAGAAGAGGGCAAAGCGGUCUUCACGGACGCCACCUACUGCCUGGCUGGGCAGAGAGCCAGUGGAUCAGAGAGGCCGGCUCUGUUCUUGGCAGGAAAUGAGGAGCUGGCAUGGAAAUGCCACCCAGGCUGGGAACAAGAUCUAUGGAGUGGCAGCCUGAGUGGGUGAGGUGAUCCAGAGUCCUACCUGUCUCCUCUCUCAUCUCUUCAACCAAACUUUCCUGAGCAACUCUGAUGCCAGGCAUUUCUAGCACUGUGACAGAACCUGAGGACAGAGGGCCCUGCUUCAAAGGUAACCACCUGCCUCCUUCUGCUAUCACAGGGCUGACCUCAGUGCAGCAGAGGGCAGAGCUUGGAGGCAGCUGCUGAGAAUUUGCACUCUAAAGACAUCCACCUAAAUCACAAGCUUUAUAUCUGGGCAGUCAGCCAGACCUCCUGACCAUAUCCUGGACUGCGGACUUUGGAUGGUGGAACGGGGGUGGAAUUGAACAUUAAAUGAGCAACAUGCUAAUUCCAUGCAAAUGAAUAUCUAUUUUGAAUCAACAGCUUGGACACUUUUUCUAGGAGGGCUGAGGCAGCAGGAAUCUAAAGAGAGGAUGAG
rnacentral:lncRNA from 1 species